UACGUAGGGUGCGAGCGUUGUCCGGAAUUACUGGGCGUAAAGAGCUCGUAGGUGGUUUGAUCGCGUUGUUCGUGAAAACCUCACAGCUCAACUGUGGGCGUGCGGGCGAUACGGGCAGACUGGAGUACUGCAGGGGAGACUGGAAUUCCUGGGUGUAGCGGUGGAAUGACGCAGAUAUCAGGAGGAACACCGGUGGCGAAGGCGGGUCUCUGGGCAGUAACUGACGCUGGAGGAGCGAAAGCCGUGGGGAGCGAACAGG
rnacentral:rRNA from 1 species